rnacentral:rRNA from 1 species
UACGUAGGGUGCAAGCGUUGUCCGGAAUUAUUGGGCGUAAAGAGCUCGUAGGCGGUCUGUCGCGUCUGCUGUGAAAAUCAGGGCUCAACCCUGGACCUGCAUUCGAUACGGGCAGACUAGAGUUCGGUAGGGGAGACUGGAAUUCCUGGUGUAGCGGUGAAAUGCGCAGAUAUCAGGAGGAACACCGGUGGCGAAGGCGGGUCUCUGGGCCGAAACUGACGCUGAGGAGCGAAAGCGUGGGGAGCAAACAGG